UACGAAGGGGGCUAGCGUUGCUCGGAAUCACUGGGCGUAAAGCGCACGUAGGCGGGUCCUUAAGUCAGGGGUGAAAUCCCGGAGCUCAACUCCGGAACUGCCUUUGAUACUGGGGAUCUUGAGUCCGGAAGAGGUGAGUGGAACUCCGGGUGUAGAGGUGAAAUUCGUAGAUAUUCGGAAGAACACCAGUGGCGAAGGCGGCUCACUGGGUCUUUACUGACGCUGAUGCACGAAAGCUAGGGUAGCAAACGGG
rnacentral:rRNA from 1 species